UGUAAAGUUCAAGCUCCGAUUUGAGGGCGAACCGCGAAUGGCUCAUUAAAUCAGUCACAAUCUACUUGAUUGUUUGAGUUUAUAUGGAUAACUGUGGUAAUUCUAGAGCUAAUACAUGUGCAACUGGGGGGACUGUUCUCGGACAGAACCUCUGCGUUUAUUAGACUAAGACCAAUGGGGCCUCGGCCUCUCUUGCAAGGUGACUCUGAGUAAAUAACGGGUGCAAGCCCGUGGUGCCGACCUGGCACUCAAUGGGCCCUCGGGCCCAGCCAGGCGAUUCAAUCGAGUGUCUGCUCUAUCAACUGUGGAUGGUAGGGUAAUUGCCUACCAUGGUGAUGACGGGUAACGGGGAGUUAGGGCUCGACUCCGGAGAACAAGCCUGAGAAACGGCUAGUAGGACUAAGGUCUGCAGCAGGCGCGAAACUUACACAAUGCUCGAUUUCUAUGAGAAGCAUUUUAUGAAAAAAAAUUAACAAUUACUUUCCUUUUAACCAGGUAAUACCAUUGGAAAGGAAACAACCCUAAACGGGCCCGCCAAGAAACAAAGGAAGGGAAGGCUGGGGGCCGCCACCCCCGGAAUUUCCGCUUCCUUUACCUUACUUUAAAUUGGUUGCGGUUAAAAACUUCGAAUUUAAUUUUCGGGGGGCUUGGUAGGCGGCUGGGCCGGGAAGGGUGGGGUGUCUCCGGACGCCCGAGCUGGCCAGGUCUGCCCUGUAUAGGUCGCCGUUUCGUCACUUAAUCGAGUGCGAAGCAGGGCGCGUCGAGGCUCCUCGCGGGGUCCGUCGGAGCGCCAGGUUUACCUUGAGAAAAUUAAAGUGCUCACGGCAGGCAGUUGGGGUGUAAAAGCCCCUUUAUGCUUGAAUAAUGUUGCAUGGAAUAAUAGAAUACGGCCUCGGUUCUAUUCUGUUGGUCUUAUAGAACAACAAACAAGUUGGCGGGUGCGCUAACGUCGGGCGGGGCGCGGGGCUGCGGCCGGCCAGUCGUCUGGGGCCCAAAAAUCCCAGCACCUCCCGGCCGCAGUCAUCCAAACUGCGCCCCGCCGGGCAGCACCGCCGCCAACUGAGGCAAUGGUUAAAAGAAAUAGUCGCGGCGGCAUCAGUACUGCAUCGUGAGAGGUGAAAUUCUUAGACCGAUGCAAGACUAACUGAAGCGAAAGCGUUUGCCGAGGAUAUUUUCAUUAAUCAAGAACGAAAGUUAGAGGUUCGAAGGCGAUCAGAUACCGCCCUAGUUCUAACCAUAAACGUUGCCAACUAGCAAUUGGGUUGCGAUUCCUUUAAUCGAGCGCCUAAAAAACCUCGAUCAUUAUGAUCCACCCAGCGGCUCUCGUAGGGAAACCAAAGUGUUUGGGUUCCGGGGGAAGUAUGAUUGCAAAGUUGAAACUUAAAGGAAUUGACGGAAGGGCACCACCAGGAGUGGAGCCUGCGGCUUAAUUUGACUCAACACGGGGAAACUUACUAGAUUAAAACUCUGGAAUGAUUGACAGAUUGAUAGCUCUUUCUUGAUUCAAAGGAUGGUGGUGCAUGGCCGUUCUUGAUUCGUAUUCCGAAACGUCUGCUUAAUUGCGAUAACGAGUGAGACCUCACCCAACUAACUAGUGGUUCGGUGCGCCGUGGGGCGCUCAAGUUCGGUGCGAUGACUCGACGGUUUAGGUUCCCCCAGGCCCAUUGCCGCACGGGAUUGCCCUCUGGUCCCCCGGCCGAAUUCUUUAGAGGAUAAACGGUGUUUUAGCCCGAAGAAACGAG
rnacentral:rRNA from 1 species